rnacentral:lncRNA from 7 species
GGCUAGUGAGCCUUCUGAGGCUGUAUUUGAAGACAGAGGGAAAAAAAAUCUGUGCACAUUUUUUUCUUUUUGUAUAUUGCUAAAUGGGAAAUGUUUGAAUCCCACACAGUGACGCUGUUUUAGAGACUGAUCUCUGGAAAAUGAAAGCAUCGGUCCCAGAGGAUGAAUAGGAGCACUUCUGCAGAUGGCCUGGAAUGCCUCUGAGUGGGUCCUAAAAAUCCUGUAACCAAAAGGUUGGGAGGUUGUCUCACCUAGAAUGCAUCCAAGUCUUAUACUGGAAGUGUUCCUAGUAUUGAUUCCUUUGGAAUAUUCACUUAAGGUCUCUGGAACGUUGCACAAUUACUCAGGAAACAGAAGCACUAUACCAUGUGUAAAGGAGACAAAUAUAAUCCUUAAUUUGCAAAGGUUGAUGACCUAGCUCAUUUGCUCCAAGAUUUACACAGUAUAUGCAGUCAGCAAGAGUUUGAACUACAGUGUGAGUCCAAACUCCACGCCAGCUGGACAAUAUAAGUGCACAUACAUAAUGGAGAUGUACAGUGUGAGAAGAAAGAAAAGCUGGACCACUGACAAUGCAUACAAAUUUGUCAUUUCUCCAUGAAGGACUUAAAGAGAUGACUUCCAUCUAUUCCUAAAGUAGCUUUCAUAUAAUUAGGUUAUCUGCGUAAUGCAAUUUCAUGUAACUAGAGGCACUGUUCAGUAUAAAAGAAAUGCUUGUACCAGCCUCCAUCCUUUCUACUCUUCUGAAUAUGUAUUUUGGUUUUGCACUAAGUUUUUCAGUUGGAUGUAUUAAGAAUAUGUCAAGUGCAUGAAUUCUAAUGAAAUGCUUCUAAAUACGUUCCCUUAUGUCAUUAAACACAAAUAAAGAAGUAAACAGUUGCUACCU